rnacentral:rRNA from 1 species
GAACGAACGCUGGCGGCAUGCCUAACACAUGCAAGUCGAACGAGACCUUCGGGUCUAGUGGCGCACGGGUGCGUAACGCGUGGGAAUCUGCCCUCUGGUACGGAAUAACUUAGGGAAACUUGAGCUAAUACCGUAUAAUGACUUCGGUCCAAAGAUUUAUCGCCUGAGGAUGAGCCCGCGUCGGAUUAGCUAGUUGGUGAGGUAAAAGCUCACCAAGGCGACGAUCCGUAGCGGUCUGAGAGGAUGAUCAGCCACACUGGGACUGAGACACGGCCCAGACUCCUACGGGAGGCAGCAGUGGGGAAUAUUGGACAAUGGGCGAAAGCCUGAUCCAGCAAUGCCGCGUGAGUGAUGAAGGCCUUAGGGUUGUAAAGCUC